GGUUGAACGCUGGCGGCAGGCUUAACACAUGCAAGUCGAGCGGAGAUAAGGUGCUUGCACCUUAUCUUAGCGGCGGACGGGUGAGUAAUGCUUAGGAAUCUGCCUAUUAGUGGGGGACAACAUUCCGAAAGGAAUGCUAAUACCGCAUACGCCCUACGGGGGAAAGCAGGGGAUCUUCGGACCUUGCGCUAAUAGAUGAGCCUAAGUCGGAUUAGCUAGUUGGUGGGGUAAAGGCCUACCAAGGCGACGAUCUGUAGCGGGUCUGAGAGGAUGAUCCGCCACACUGGGACUGAGACACGGCCCAGACUCCUACGGGAGGCAGCAGUGGGGAAUAUUGGACAAUGGGCGGAAGCCUGAUCCAGCCAUGCCGCGUGUGUGAAGAAGGCCUUUUGGUUGUAAAGCACUUUAAGCGAGGAGGAGGCUACUUAGAUUAAUACUCUAGGAUAGUGGACGUUACUCGCAGAAUAAGCACCGGCUAACUCUGUGCCAGCAGCCGCGGUAAUACAGAGGGUGCGAGCGUUAAUCGGAUUUACUGGGCGUAAAGCGUGCGUAGGCGGCUGAUUAAGUCGGAUGUGAAAUCCCUGAGCUUAACUUAGGAAUUGCAUUCGAUACUGGUCAGCUAGAGUAUGGGAGAGGAUGGUAGAAUUCCAGGUGUAGCGGUGAAAUGCGUAGAGAUCUGGAGGAAUACCGAUGGCGAAGGCAGCCAUCUGGCCUAAUACUGACGCUGAGGUACGAAAGCAUGGGGAGCAAACAGGAUUAGAUACCCUGGUAGUCCAUGCCGUAAACGAUGUCUACUAGCCGUUGGGGCCUUUGAGGCUUUAGUGGCGCAGCUAACG
rnacentral:rRNA from 1 species